rnacentral:rRNA from 1 species
CCUACGGGUGACAGCAGUGAGGAAUAUUGGUCAAUGGGCGCGAGCCUGAACCAGCCAAGUAGCGUGAAGGAUGACUGCCCUACGGGUUGUAAACUUCUUUUAUAAAGGAAUAAAGUGAGGCACGAGUGCCUUUUUGUAUGUACUUUAUGAAUAAGGAUCGGCUAACUCCGUGCCAGCAGCCGAGGUAAUACGGAGGAUCCGAUCGUUAUCCGGAUUGAUUGGGUUUAAAGGGAGCGUAGAUGGGUUUUUAAGUCAGUUGUGAAAGUUUGCGGCUCAACCGUAAAAUUGCAAUUGAUACUGGCAGCUUUGAGUACAGUUGAGGUAGGCGGAAUUCGUGGUGUAGCGGUGAAAUGCGUAGAUAUCACGAAGAACUCCGAUUGCGAAGGCAGCUUACUAAACUGCCACUGACAUUGAUGCUCGAAAGUGUGGGUAUCAAACAGGAUUAGAUACCCGAGUAGUC